rnacentral:rRNA from 1 species
UGCAAGUCGAACGCCCGCAAGGGGAGUGGCAGACGGGUGAGUAACGCGUGGGAACGUGCCUUUGGUUACGGAAUAACUCAGGGAAACUUGAGCUAAUACCGGAUAAGUGCGAGAGCAGAAAGAUUUAUCGGCCGAAGGAUCGGCCCGCGUCCGAUUAGCUAGUUGGUGGGGUAAAGGCCCACCAAGGCGACGAUCGGUAGCUGGUCUGAGAGGAUGAUCAGCCACAUGGGACUGAGACACGGCCCAAACUCCUACGGGAGGCAGCAGUGGGGAAUAUUGGACAAUGGGCGCAAGCCUGAAUCCAGCCAUGCCGCGUGAGUGAUGAAGGCCUUAGGGUUGUAAAGCUCUUUCGCCAGGGACGAUAAUGACGGUACCUGGAUAAGAAGCCCCGGCUAACUUCGUGCCAGCCGCGGC